GUCACAUUGUGUAUUUGGUAGUGUGUGUAUGUGUGGGGCUGUUUGGGGUAUUGCAUGUGAGAGGCUGCAUGUGGGGUUGUGUGCAUGUAUGUGGAUUGUUGGUGGUGUUGUGUUUGUGCCGACUGUGUGUGUGUUUGUAUUAUUUGUAUGAGAGGAGGGUUAUUCUGCAGUUCUGUGUAUAUCUAGCAGUGUGGGAGGCUUCCCUGGGUUUUAGUGGGGACCAGGCUGGCCAGGUACAGCUCAAGGACAUAAGCUGCAACAGGAAGCGGUGUGCUGCUUUACUCCAGUGUGGAUUCCCAUUCCCAAGUGCUGGGAGGAAGUG